rnacentral:rRNA from 1 species
UACGUAGGGUGCAAGCGUUAAUCGGAAUUACUGGGCGUAAAGCGUGCGCAGGCGGUGAUGUAAGACAGGUGUGAAAUCCCCGGGCUUAACCUGGGAACUGCAUUUGUGACUGCAUCGCUGGAGUGCGGCAGAGGGGGAUGGAAUUCCGCGUGUAGCAGUGAAAUGCGUAGAUAUGCGGAGGAACACCGAUGGCGAAGGCAAUCCCAUGGGCCUGCACUGACGCUCAUGCCCGAAAGCGUGGGGAGCAAUCAGG